GAUGAACGCUGGCGGCGUGCCUAAUACAUGCAAGUCGAGCGAACGGACGAGAAGCUUGCUUCUCUGAUGUUAGCGGCGGACGGGUGAGUAACACGUGGAUAACCUACCUAUAAGACUGGGAUAACUUCGGGAAACCGGAGCUAAUACCGGAUAAUAUUUUGAACCGCAUGGUUCAAAAGUGAAAGACGGUCUUGCUGUCACUUAUAGAUGGAUCCGCGCUGCAUUAGCUAGUUGGUAAGGUAACGGCUUACCAAGGCAACGAUGCAUAGCCGACCUGAGAGGGUGAUCGGCCACACUGGAACUGAGACACGGUCCAGACUCCUACGGGAGGCAGCAGUAGGGAAUCUUCCGCAAUGGGCGCAAGCCUGACCGAGCAACGCCGCGUGAGUGAUGAAGGUCUUCGGAUCGUAAACCUCUGUUAUUAGGGAAGAACAUAUGUGUAAGUAACUGUGCACAUCUUGACGGUACCUAAUCAGAAAGCCACGGCUAACUACGUG
rnacentral:rRNA from 1 species